rnacentral:rRNA from 1 species
UACGGACUGUGCAAACGUUAUUCGGAAUCACUGGGCUUAAAGAGUCCGUAGGCGGCAUGUUAGGUGAGGUGUGAAAUCCCCCGGCUCAACCGAGGAAUUGCGCUUCAAACCGGCGUGCUCGAGGAAGAUAGAGGUGGGCGGAACUGAUGGUGGAGCGGUGAAAUGCGUUGAUAUCAUCAGGAACACCGGAGGCGAAAGCGGCCCACUGGGUCUUUUCUGACGCUGAGGGACGAAAGCUAGGGGAGCGAACGGG